rnacentral:sRNA from 1 species
CCCUAGCCCCGAUAGAAGCGGCAUCCUUUAUAGCUGCCGUUUUUGGCAGGUGUAAAGAUAUAGCGGAAAGCGGGAAAUAGC